rnacentral:rRNA from 1 species
UAGGGAAUAUUGCAAAAUGGGCGAAAGCCCGAUGCAGCAACGCCGCGUGGGCGAUGAAGGCCUUCGGGUCGUAAAGCCCUUUUUGAGGGGAUGAGGAAGGACAGUACCCUCAGAAUAAGCCUCGGCUAACUACGUGCCAGCAGCCGCGGUAAAACGUAGGAGGCGAGCGUUAUCCGGAUUUACUGGGCGCAAAGCGCGUGCAGGCGGAUUGGAGAGUUGGAUGUGAAAGCUCCCGGCUUAACUGGGAGAGGUCGUUCAAUACUUCCAGUCUUGAGUGCAGUAGAGGGAAGUGGAAUUCCGGGUGUAGUGGUGAAAUGUGUAGAUAUCCGGAGGAACACCAGUGGCGAAAGCGGCUUCCUGGACUGUAACUGACGCUCAGACGCGAAAGCUAGGGUAGCAAACG